CUUAGCUUAUAGCGUAAAAUGGUGAUAUGGGAUAUUACUGAUUUAGAAAAGAGUUAUUUAUGUAAUGAGUACCAAUGUUGUUGAGCAUAUUCUCAGGGCAAACGCUCCAGACGCCAGGUAAAACUACUCUGUUUGUAAAGAUGCUACCUGUCAUCCAUUGCCUAUCUUCUGAGUUCCAUUGUGGAACAUAAAAACACCCACAGAAUGCUUUCACUUUUCCCUGUUGGCAGCUCUUGCAUCCUUAUAUCGACCUGUAACCUUAGAACCUUCAUUAUUUAGUUUCUUUCUCUCUUUUUCUUCUUUCCUUUGCCAACUCGUCUCAGGCCUCCAUCUCCAUUUUCCUACUUUUGUUCAGGUGCUGUGUUGAAACCUCUCCUUCCUCCUGUAUAAGGAUAGUCUUUGAGGCUCUAGCGAUGUCCUUAUUGACGGGUUUUCAUUGUAUGAGGACAGUCUUGUAGGUCCCAACGGUGUCCUUAUUAACGAAGCUCUACUGGAUUAGGAAAGUUUUUAUAGGUUUCCAAGUGAUGUCCUUUUUAACCGGGUUCCUCUGUAUUAGGACAGUCUUGUAUGACCCAAUUGUGCCCUUUAACGAGGUUGCUGUGUUGAAACCUCUCCCUCGAUUCCUUUUGUCUCGCUGUAGGAUAUAACAUAGUCAUCUACCACAUGCGCCUGUUAAUAACCUCUUUUCUCUAAGUCAUCCUGCUCUACUAGUCCAAUACUAUGACAAAUAAAUGCAUGGCAUUGUUCUCUUCCGUUGUUUUACCUUGUUCUCAAAUACGCUCCAGUGUCCUCAAUUGCUUUAACUAAUUUAUUUAUUUAUUAGCAAUAUUUAAGCAGGCUACCCAAUUCAGCAUAGCUGGUUUAAAUGGAGGCAAUGAAAUAUAAAAUAAUAUAGGAAAAUAUAAGUUAAGCUACAAUACAUUACAUAAGUUACAUAGGUAUUGUUUGAGUUACAGAACGGAUGUUUAAAGAUAAAGAUAAAGUAUUCCAGGUUUAAGCCCCAUUGUACCUGAAAGAGGAUUGCCAUUUAGACGUUUUUGCAAGUGGCACAAUGAUUUGAUCUUUGUUACGAGUAUUAUAGGCAUGGAAGACACGAGAAAAGGAAAAUUUAUUUAAAAGAUAGGCUGGCGCUAUGCCAUUUAAGCAUUUGAAAACCAGAAAACAGAUAUGAAAUUGUCUGCGCGAUUCGAGAGAGGGCCAGCUGAGAGUGCGCCUUAUUUCGUGCUGCUGAACUGGAAUCUUUCUAUGAUGCUAACAGCACGCCGCUGCAGUCUGUCCAGGUAGGCGCUGUUCGUUUGACCAAGGCCAACCCAAACCGCGGACAGUAGUCAACAAUGUAAGGAUCAUGGACUCAUACAACAUGAUACAAGCCUACCCUGGAAUGACCUCUCCCAGCGGCACGUUAUUUUCUCUUCCCCAUCAUAGAGAAACAACGCGCCGCUGUGAAUCGAGGUGGUCUAGUUACUCAUUUACCAGGUGGCGGCGGUUACAAAGCCCGUUCUUUGAAAGGUCGCAAGCGCGAAGAGACAGAGCUCCCUGCAGGAGCGAAACCAAGGCAAAUACAUCCAGUCGAAGUAGGAAUACGUGCUUAUUCAACACUAACAAGUCAAUAGACUUCAUUUCGGAGUUAAAUUAUUCUAUAGCCCGAGCUAAGUCGUUUAUGUAAGAAAUGAACAGCAGUGGACCGAACAAGGACCCCUUACCCGAACGCGUUUGGUUGGCGGUGUGAGAUGACACAAUUGGCACAAAUAUCACUAUGGGUCCUGUUAGUGAGAUGCGCUUUGAAUCAAUUUGUAGUAAAACUAUUAAUUGUUGUACAAUUAUGUAAUAGUUUCAGUCGAUGCUAUGCAUAAAUGUGUCGGUGGAUCGGACAACCCUUACACUUAUUGUGGAACACCUUAAUCCUCUUUUUGUUUGAACAUUUUUUAUUUUCCGUAUCCGUACUGGCACACCAGUUUUGAACAAUCUAAGCAUGGCUCUUUUCAUAUUUUUGUAUGAUUUAAAAAAGGCUAAAAUGGCAGAGGGAGUCAAAUGUUCAAGGUAGCUUAUAUAUAAUAAUAAUAAUAAUAAUAAUAAUAAUAAUAAUAAUAAUAAUAAUAAUAAUAAUAAUAAUAAUAAUAAUAAUAAUAAUAAUAAUAAUAAUAAUAAUAAUAAUAAUAAUAAUAAUAAUAAUAAUAAUAAUAAUAAUAAUAAUAAUGGUUUAUUACAGAUUCCAACAAUUAAGAGGCUCUUCUUCUGUAAGAUACUUACAAUUAACAAUAUACACUACAAUAUACACUACUGAUAAAAAAAAUUCUAAUAUAUUAAGUUCUAAGUUAUAAUAUCUAUAUGCAAUUUAAGAAUAUGUAUAUAAAAUGUCGAUUAAACGUGUAUUCAAAGUGA